CGCCCCUAUCUCAGCCCAAGCGCAGUGGAGGACACCGGGCGCUUCCCUUGUUGUGUUGCACUUAUAGUGUGACGAAGCCCCGCAUCAUCCAUUUCUUCUACUGGGCAGAGGACGGAGAGGCUAACGACCUCAGAAAUUACUGUUACCAUACGUAGUGUGCUGUUUCGGAGUACGAAGGAACGCGGACCAAGAGCUGUCAGUGACUGUGAGUAAAACAUUGGAAAUAUUCGUGGUGUAAACUUACCUGUGUCUGUUUUGUCGCAGAGUCAGAGGCAAAAGGGUCCGCCGCCCCCGCGGUCUCUACAAAGGGGCGCCCCUGUCCAGGAUUCGAUCGGCCUACGGGCAGUGGAGAUAGGGCAGCGCUCGACCCGGUGAGGUGGUGUGUGACCUUCGCCCCUCUGCUGACCUACGGAGGAAACCAUACCUACCCAGAAAGUUGUAAACAGCAGAGCCGGUGAGAAAUACUCGAAGUCUCAGUAACAGUGUCUUUGUGUCCUAGCGGCCACCUGUGGAGAGAGAGAAGAACGAGAGUGAAUAA